rnacentral:sRNA from 1 species
UCCAUUCUUGUCUCUGGCGGUGUGGAU